CGCUAGCUACAGGCUUAACACAUGCAAGUCGAGGGGCAGCACAGUGUAGCAAUACAUGGGUGGCGACCGGCGCACGGGUGCGUAACGCGUAUCCAACCUUCCCGAUACUCUUGGAUAGCCUUCCGAAAGGGAGAUUAAUACAAGAUGGUGUUUCACUUUCGCAUGUUAUUGAAACUAAAGAUUUAUCGGUAUCGGAUGGGGAUGCGUGACAUUAGAUAGUAGGCGGGGUAACGGCCCACCUAGUCUACGAUGUCUAGGGGUUCUGAGAGGAAGGUCCCCCACACUGGAACUGAGACACGGUCCAGACUCCUACGGGAGGCAGCAGUGAGGAAUAUUGGUCAAUGGUCGGAAGACUGAACCAGCCAAGUAGCGUGAAGGAUGAAGGUUCUAUGGAUUGUAAACUUCUUUUAUACGGGAAUAAAACACCUUACGUGUAGGGUCUUGUAUGUACCGUAUGAAUAAGCAUCGGCUAACUCCGUGCCAGCAGCCGCGGUAAUACGGAGGAUGCGAGCGUUAUCCGGAUUUAUUGGGUUUAAAGGGAGCGUAGACGGGAUGUUAAGUCAGUUGUGAAAGGCUGCGGCUCAACCGCAGCACUGCAGUUGAUACUGGCGUCCUCGAGUGCGGUUGAGGUAUGUGGAAUUCGUGGUGUAGCGGUGAAAUGCUUAGAUAUCACGAAGGACUCCGAUUG
rnacentral:rRNA from 1 species